UUUAUGGUGUGAUAACAAAAGCAAAAAAACAUGAUACUAAAGGACAGAACAUAAUAUCAACACAGAAAUGAAUCUUAUCGAUUUCAGUGCGCAUUACACGUGUGAUAACAUUCAUCAGAUUCAAGAAAGGACUUUCGUGAUCUUCCGUGCUGUUUAUACGAAACACAAACUAUGAUAACAAAAACCCGUGAUAUUUUGAUUCCUUCAUAAAUAAGAGGACAGAAAAUGGACAAAUUACAAUCUGAUAAGACCUUUAUUGUUAACAACUAUUGUCUAUUUAGUAACUAACCUUAUUAAUCAGGGAUACUACUCACAAGUCAAAUUAAAUGCAACACAGAAGAUGAACAAUGGAACAGUUAAAAGACACCAAUAAAGAGUAUAACGACAUUAUUAUUUUGAAAAGUGCAAACCGUCAUUUUUUAGUGCAUAUGAACAUUUUUCUAAAGAUGUAUCUGGAUAAAAAGAAGAUGCGCGCAAUGGUGUUUAGCAGUAAUUACACUUAAUGUGAUAAUUUCUUUUUAUUAUCAGUAAAUCGUAUGUACUUAAAAUUAAACGAAGAAAUUAACAGAGUACUUGAAGGUCUGUAAAUUUUAAAGUACAAAUUACUAAUAAACAAAGCAUGAAAGGAACAAAGAUAAAUGGCAACAUUGUUUAUGAUCCAGAGCUCACAGGUGAUUUAUAUAACCAUUUCUAGUAUUCUUCUAUGUAUAAGGUUCACGAUGUUUUAACAUUGCUGCAGCUGUUGUUUCUGCUGUAUACAUUUAGUUUUCGUAUCACAGGGAACAAUUGAGAUGUUUACAUUGGUCUUUAAAAUGAAUCCCCAAACACUGGCGUACGUCCCCUUUGAUCGCCACAAAAAUUUUAAAUAUCAUGUUUCUCACGAUCGUCCAAAAUGUGUUCGCCUCGUGCCGCUCGGGUGUAUAACUUCAAUUAUCGGAAAUUACACCCCCUUUCAAAAUUCCUGAAUCCAUCCCUGUCAAAGGACUAGGAUAUAUAAAUUUGACUAUAUGGGCUUCACCAAUUCGAAAGUUACACAAAUGUUAACGAGAAGCAUUCGUUUGGCUGUGUGGGAUGUAUAAAUACGCAGCAACGUCCGAUCAGAAUGGGCCCGGAAGUUUGAAAAAGUGCUAUACUUUCGCUCUAUGUACAUGAAACGAAUCCUUGCAUCUAUAAGUUAAUUGGCUUGUAGGUGGUCUGUUGCAUGGCCUCUCCGCCCCGAUCCAACUAGAUUGAAUUGUUUUACAAGUGUCAUAUCGGGGUCUUUUAUAGCUUACUAUGCGGAAUGAGUUUUGCUCAUUGUAUAAGGCCGUGCGGAGACAUAUAGUUGUUAACUUCUACGUAUUUGGUCUCUGUUAGAAAGUUGUCACAUUGCAGUCAUGACACAUCUUCGUAUUCUUAUACAAUUAUCGGAUUGCAAUUUUUUUUUUUUUACCUUUUGUCCCGGUCGUGGAUACUUUACGAAAUAUAUUGGCGUUGUUACAAGGCUUUAUGGAGUUUUUACGAGCAAUAAUAAGAAAGGUACCAACUU